rnacentral:rRNA from 1 species
AACGAACGCUGGCGGCAGGCUUAACACAUGCAAGUCGAACGCCCCGCAAGGGGAGUGGCAGACGGGUGAGUAACGCGUGGGAACGUGCCCUUCGCUUCGGAAUAGUCCCGGGAAACUGGGGUUAAUACCGGAUACGCCGUAUUGGGAAAGAUUUAUCGGCGAAGGAUCGGCCCGCGUUAGAUUAGGUAGUUGGCGGUGUAAUGGACCACCAAGCCUACGAUCUAUAGCUGGUCUGAGAGGAUGAUCAGCCACACUGGGACUGAGACACGGCCCAGACUCCUACGGGAGGCAGCAGUGGGGAAUCUUGGACAAUGGGCGCAAGCCUGAUCCAGCCAUGCCGCGUGAGUGAAGAAGGCCUUAGGGUUGUAAAACUCUUUCGCCGGAGAGGAUAAUGACGGUAUCCGGAGAAGAAGCCCCGGCUAACUUCGUGCCAGCAGCCGCCGUAA